UACGUAGGUGACCAGCGUUGUCCGGAUUUACUGGGCGUAAAGCGCACGUAGGCGGCUUUGUAAGUUAGAGGUGAAAGCCCGGGGCUCAACUCCGGAACUGCCUUUAAGACUGCAUCGCUUGAGUCCAGGAGAGGUGAGUGGAAUUCCGAGUGUAGAGGUGAAAUUCGUAGAUAUUCGGAAGAACACCAGUGGCGAAGGCGGCUCACUGGACUGGUAUUGACGCUGAGGUGCGAAAGCGUGGGGAGCAAACAGG
rnacentral:rRNA from 1 species